CCUGAGCCGCCUGGGAGCAGGGAGGGUUCUGCUACCCUGAGGGGCCCUCCCCGCGGGGCAGAGGGGUUUCCUCAGCAGUGCCCCGGAGCAGGGACCGCGCCAGCCAGCAGAAACAGCUAGUUGUUGUCUGCAGUGAAGAAUAAUUGGAAGCAUGGUGCCUGUUUCUUUUCCUUGACAUGAAAUUACUGAAAUCAUAUUUGGCCGAGCAAGCAUGAAGACCACAGAAGGACAGAGAUGGGAGAUCGUCAUUAGUUUAACAAGGAGCCAAGAAUAGGACAGCUUGGGAAGGUGAGCUGCGUAUAGCUCGUCAGGCUGAGCUCAUCCUCGUCUACGGCCAAACGUUGGUUUCUCAUUUCUAGAAGAUGAAAGAUGUGAUGACUCAGGAAAAACUUGCUGCUCGAGAUGUGAGUCUUCAGAUGUUCCUGCCGCCAUAUCUGACAGCUGCUGCCAAGAUUCCCUGGUGGGAUGGACUCUUAUACCUCAACAACCAGAAGCCCAAGUAAACUCUUCUAUAAAUUGAAUGACUCAUGCUUAAAAAAAAAAACAAAAAACAAACUAUCUUUAUUUUGUGUGCAUUGGUGUUUUGCCUACAUAUAUGUCUGUGUGAGAGUGUCAGAUUCCUUGGAACUGUAGCUACAGAUAGUUGUGAGCCACCAUGUGGGUGCUGGGACUUGAACCCCAGUCCUCUAGAAGAGCAGCUGGUAGGUACUCUUAACCACUGGACCAUCCCUCUAGACCCUGAUCAUGGUGUUUUAACUACAGCAAAAGAAAAGUAAUUAGCACAAUCAGGUUAGCCAGAGGGCACACCUGUGACAGAUUUUUCCUAAGUGCAUUCAUCAGGGGGAGGCCCACCCUGGAUGGGGGCAGCACCCUUCCUUGGGUUUGGGUCUUAGAAAGAAUAAACACAGAGAGGGAGCUGAGCACAAGCCAGCAAGCACAAGCUAAGCAAGCACUGUCCAGUCUUCCUCUGCUUUGACUGAGGAUGUGACGUGUCUAGCUGCUUCAGGUUUCUGCCUCGAAUCCCCUGCAGUCAUAGACUAUAACCUGGAAUUGUGAGCCAAAAGAAAAACAAAAGAAAACAAAAUCCAUUUUCUCCCCAUAUGUUGCUUUUUGGUCAAAGCAUUUGAUCCCAGUAACAGAAAAGAAAUGAGGACAGGCAAGAAGAGGCCAUACCACAGAGCCAGGAGCAGGUUGUAGUGCCAAGUUGCAGAGGCCGGGGAGGAGCAUAGGUGCAGAGCAGCCGCUGUCAGAAUGUUCAGGGAAAAGGAGAAGAGAGGAUGUGUCAGGGAAGUGAGCUGGCUCAGUCCAUAACAGCAUGGUCUUGCUGUCUUUUACAGGGUCUGAAGUCUACCUUAGUGCAGUGGGAGCCACUAACUGUCCUAGUAUGAAGGAAGGAUAUUGAUGUUUUUUGGGCAUGUAAGUGUGUGUGUGUGUGUGUGUGUGUGUGUGUCCCCAUACUCUAGGGACUGAGCCUCCUCACCCAUGUACCACACAGCUUCAGUCCCAGUCCCAUAUUUUGUUUUCAAUCAAACUUUAUACAAAUGUUUCUCAAGAAAA
rnacentral:lncRNA from 1 species